CCAAGGAGUCUAACAUGCGCGCGAGUCGUUGGGUCGUACGAAACCCGAAGGCGAAGUGAAAGCGAGGGCCGUCUCUGACGUGCUCAGGUGGGAUCCCGUUCCCUUCCGGGGGGCGGGCGCACCACCGGCCCGUCUCGUCCGCGUUGUCGGUGAGGCGGAGCAGGAGCGUGCACGUUGGGACCCGAAAGAUGGUGAACUAUGCCUGAGUAGGACGAAGCCAGAGGAAACUCUGGUGGAGGUCCGCAGCGAUUCUGACGUGCAAAUCGAUCGUCAAACUUGGGUAUAGGGGCGAAAGACUAAUCGAACCAUCUA
rnacentral:rRNA from 1 species